CUUUGUCCUUUCUCUUCCUUCUAAACAUGUAUCUCUCCCACAGGUCAUUCUCCUGUGACCGUGUGUACUGCAGACUGUUUCAAAACCGGGCAGGCAAUUAGCAAUGGGAAAUAAGUGGUCCACCUUCAAUAUUUGCUUGUUGUUCAUUUACAUGCUCUUGGCACCAAUCCUAGACUCACGUGUGCCCCAGAAUAACAUUCAGACUCUCAGUUGGUCUUGUGUUACACAUCCAUGGACCGGUUCACUCCAUCAUAUACAGCUCUCUGCUCCGUGUCCCCUGGGCUCAAGUCAAGCAGUCGGUGACAGAUUUCAUUCCCAAUAACAGAAUCGGUUUGCAUGACUCCCCAUACAUGUUGCAGCUUUGAAAACAUUCAUCUCAGUGUCAGGAAUAAAGACAGUAAAAAUGCAUGUCAAGCCCUCGUUAGCUGAUGAGGUAAAUGCGUGGACAACUUCUUGGCUCUCCCCUCUGUGACCUUGCAGCCUGCUCAGUCCUUUGUGCAGCUGUUCCUUAUCAAAAGCAGCUAAAUCCCCCCAUCUGCCCAUUUAAAAAUUGGUGGGGUGAACAAAGAGCAUGAAAAUGUUGAAGACCAAAACCAAAAUUUACUCAAAUCAAAGUUAAGUACAGAGUUUAUUUUUAACAAAUGUCAUAGCUAUGUCACCUUACUACAGAAUCCAGCAGUCAGAAAAUAACACAAAAAAUGCCGAGGUUUGGCGUAGCUGGUAGCUGGGGACAGUGUCUUCGUUUGAUUACUGCCAGUUAUUUCCAGCAUGCUAAAUCCCUACCCACGUUCCAGCCUCUAGGUGAGUCAGUGCGUCACUCUGUCUCCCGUCCAAUUAAUUAUUUCUCAUCACUCCCUCAAUCCAAGUAACAAACCUUGAAACACGAACAUAGACACCAGGCUUAUUGGGGCGUGCACAGCCAAGACCCCAAGAAGUGACUCCUUGUAAAAUGUAUUUGUCCUUCUCGAAGCAAACCAGAGGACCUCCACUGUCACCCUAUACAGAGGGAGAGAAAAAUGCAUGUGAGGGUUAGGCUGCCUGCCUUUUAUUAUGGGAUGCCAUCCUUCUACUAUCCAUAUAUACAUUUUCCCAGUAAUUGAAAUCAGAAAGGAACUUAUGAGCAUAUUACUCAAGCAUCUGCAGUGCUUAAGUACUUAGCAAAAUCUGUUUAGCGAAACCACACCACUUAGUUUUUCCGGGGGGUAGAAAAGAUCUUUUGUGAAUCCUGCACACAUCCCUUCCUAUGUUGGUGUUUCCUUUAGACUGGGCUAGCCUGGGCAUCAGUGUAAAGUGUGUGCAGUUGGUCUCUGUCCUGUAUCCUCUACCUCCUUCCCUACCGGAAAAGUCACCACUUUAGUCCCUGGCCACCAGCACACCCCAGGAGGGUGAGUGGCCUGAGGUAGUUAUGGCACUUAAAACUCGCUUGCUACUGAUUUGGAACUCAAGCCCCAAGACAUCCCCUUAGAUGAUCUGAAUACGCAUUCAGGGACAGAUCUAGGAAGUUUCUAAACAACACUUAGACUGGGGUCUUCGGUUGAAAAUCCUUGAAUUUGCCACCUGGGGAAUGAAGUCUGAGGGGCUGAGACUGAGACAAGAGAGCACAAGACUAACUUUGGUCUCUUGAUCUUUGCUUACCUGGCAACUGUCAGUGCCUCCGGCCAAAUGCCCAGCACAGAGUUCGGUGGAUUGGACUCUUCCAUUCAGAAACUCAUAGCGAUUGCACACUUUAUUCUCAAUCACAGGGAGCUGGGCUUCCUUGAGAAGGCCAGCUCCAAAAGUACCUGUGUUUAAAAAGAUGAAAGAAAUGGCAACUGCACCCAAAACACAUUCAGGAGGAUAUUCCAGAACAGAGCAGCGGCACUGGACCUCCUGUCUGUGAGGCUGCAGAACACGAGGCAGCUCCCAAUGCCG
rnacentral:lncRNA from 1 species